UGUGGUCUUAGGUCCUGCCGAGUCAGCGGUGGGGUUAAAGGCCACGGUAGCAGAGGAGGUGGGGUCGGGUGUCUGUCUGGUCAGAGCUGUGAACCAAUCAGGGAGGAGCAGUGUUUCAUCCGACCGUGUCUGGGUCAGGGAGUGCCACCCCUCCUCCCCACCGCCCAACAAAUGCCACCCCAGCUCCGGUUACCACGACAACAGCUGUGCUAACGUAACACUUACGUUCACCAAAGAUACCAUGCCCAGGGGUCUGAGUAUUGAGGCAGUGUGUAAGCAGCUGAGACAACUGUACGUGGUCAAGAAUGUGUCCUCUGAGUAUUCUGUUUCCAUAACCUGUGACCCUUCAACCUCCGCCAGCAACGAGAUCCAUCUCAGCAUAUACACAGUGGACCAGUGGAUGGACAUAUCACCUAUAAAGGAGAUAACAGAGAGGAUCAUCGAUCUGGUGUCUAAACGCCAUGGCAACAACAGCAUCAUCACCGCCAUUGCUGAGGUCAGAGUUCAGCGGACGCCGAGCACUAGCCACACCGGUAUGAACCCCCUGCAACACAGACACACAGACACACAGCCAAACCGGUACACACCACACACACACACACACACACACCACACACACACAGCCAAACCGGUACACACCACACACACACACACAGUCAAACCGGUACACACCACACACACACACACACAGCCAAACCGGUACAC